UAGCUUAUUUAUAAAGUGUGUCUGCUGC
rnacentral:sRNA from 1 species